UGGGGAAUAUUGCACAAUGGGCGAAAGCCUGAUGCAGCAACGCCGCGUGAGGGAUGACGGCCUUCGGGUUGUAAACCUCUUUUAGUAGGGAAGAAGCGAAAGUGACGGUACCUGCAGAAAAAGCACCGGCUAACUACGUGCCAGCAGCCGCGGUAAUACGUAGGGUGCAAGCGUUGUCCGGAAUUAUUGGGCGUAAAGAGCUCGUAGGCGGUUUGUCGCGUCUGCUGUGAAAUCCCGAGGCUCAACCUCGGGUCUGCAGUGGGUACGGGCAGACUAGAGUGGGGUAGGGGAGAUUGGAAUUCCUGGUGUAGCGGUGGAAUGCGCAGAUAUCAGGAGGAACACCGAUGGCGAAGGCAGAUCUCUGGGCCAUUACUGACGCUGAGGAGCGAAAGCAUGGGGAGCGAACA
rnacentral:rRNA from 1 species